rnacentral:rRNA from 1 species
GGGCGGGCAGCUUACACAUGCAAGUCGAGCGGUAACAGAGAUAGCUUGCUAUCUGCUGACGAGCGGCGGACGGGUGAGUAAUGCUUGGGAAUAUGCCUUAUGGUGGGGGACAACAGUUGGAAACGACUGCUAAUACCGCAUAACGUCUACGGACCAAAGGGGGGGAUGCUUCGGCACCUCCCGCCAUUUGAUUAGCCCAAGUGAGAUUAGCUAGUAGGUGAGGUAAGAGCUCACCUAGGCGACGAUCUCUAGCUGGUUUGAGAGGAUGAUCAGCCACACUGGGACUGAGACACGGCCCAGACUCCUACGGGAGGCAGCAGUGGGGAAUAUUGCACAAUGGGCGAAAGCCUGAUGCAGCCAUGCCGCGUGUGUGAAGAAGGCCUUCGGGUUGUAAAGCACUUUCAGCGAGGAGGAAAGGUUAGUGGUUAAUAGCCACUAGCUGUGACGUUACUCGCAGAAGAAGCACCGGCUAACUUCGUGCCAGCAGCCGCGGUAAC